rnacentral:rRNA from 1 species
UACGUAGGGUGCAAGCGUUGUCCGGAAUUAUUGGGCGUAAAGAGCUCGUAGGCGGUUUGUUGCGUCGGCUGUGAAAACCUGAGGCUCAACCUCAGGCCUGCAGUCGAUACGAGCAGACUAGAGUGUUGCAGGGGAGACUGGAAUUCCUGGUGUAGCGGUGAAAUGCGCAGAUAUCAGGAGGAACGCCGGUGGCGAAGGCGGGUCUCUGGGCAACAACUGACGCUGAGGAGCGAAAGCGUGGGGAGCGAACAGG